rnacentral:rRNA from 1 species
GAUGAACGCUGGCGGCGUGCCUAAUACAUGCAAGUCGAGCGAACAGACGAGAGUGCUUGCACUCUCUGACGUUAGCGGCGGACGGGUGAGUAACACGUGGGUAACCUACCUAUAAGACUGGGAUAACUUCGGGAGACCGGAGCUAAUACCGGAUAAUAUUUAGCUUCGCAUGAAGCAAUAGUGAAAGACGGUUCUGCUGUCACUUAUAGAUGGACCCGCGGUGUAUUAGCUUGUUGGUGAGGUAACGGCUCACCAAGGCAACGAUACAUAGCCGACCGGAGAGGGUGAUCGGCCACACGGGGACUGAGACACGGCCCAGACUCCUACGGGAGGCAGCAGUAGGGAAUCUUCCGCAAUGGACGAAAGUCUGACGGAGCAAUGCCGCGUGAGUGAAGAAGGUUUUCGGAUCGUAAAACUCUGUUGUAAGGGAAGAACAAGUACGUUAGUAACUGAACGUACCUUGACGGUACCUUACCAGAAAGCCACGGCUAACUACGUG